AUUGAACGCUGGCGGCAUGCCUUACACAUGCAAGUCGAACGGCAGCACGGGCUUCGGUCUGGUGGCGAGUGGCGAACGGGUGAGUAAUGUAUCGGAACGUACCUUUCAGUGGGGGAUAACGUAGCGAAAGUUACGCUAAUACCGCAUAUUCUGUGAGCAGGAAAGCAGGGGAUCGCAAGACCUUGCGCUGAUUGAGCGGCCGAUAUCAGAUUAGCUAGUUGGUGAGGUAAAGGCUCACCAAGGCGACGAUCUGUAGCGGGUCUGAGAGGAUGAUCCGCCACACUGGAACUGAGACACGGUCCAGACUCCUACGGGAGGCAGCAGUGGGGAAUUUUGGACAAUGGGGGCAACCCUGAUCCAGCCAUGCCGCGUGAGUGAAGAAGGCCUUCGGGUUGUAAAGCUCUUUCGGCCGGGAAGAAAUCGUAUGGGUUAAUACCCUGUGCGGAUGACGGUACCGGCAUAAGAAGCACCGGCUAACUACGUGCCAGCAGCCGCCGUAACAC
rnacentral:rRNA from 1 species